rnacentral:sRNA from 2 species
CGAGUUGGCCGCUAGGGUUCCGGUGCAGGUUUGCAUGACUGGUCCGAGAGCAGCCACUGUGCGAGGAGAAAUCUCGCACGGAUGCACGGCGGGACAAAAGCCCGGGAGAC